rnacentral:SRP_RNA from 1 species
GCUGGGCGUGGUGGCUCACACCUGUAAUCCCAGCAUUUGGGAGGUUGAGGUGGGCGGAUCACCUGAGGUCAGGAUCAUCUGAGUUCGAGACCAGCCUGACCAACAUGGAGAAACCCCGUCUCUA